UAAAAUGUGAUGACGAAGACGGCAUUAAGAAAUAGCUCCAGAGAGUCGGUGGUUGCUGCGAACCGAUGCAUUUUUCUUAAAAGGCCUAGCCCUUCUGAACUGGCUGCUGAAGAAUUAGUAGGUUAGCCCGGUAUAAAACCGUUAUUUCCUUGAGGCUGCUUAGGCUUUAUGCAGCAAAAGAGGGUGGCACCACGUAUACCACGUCCCUCAU
rnacentral:ncRNA from 1 species